rnacentral:piRNA from 1 species
UGGGAAACAAAAAUUCAAACG